rnacentral:rRNA from 1 species
GAUGAACGCUGGCGGCGUGCCUAAUACAUGCAAGUCGAGCGAAUGGAUUAAGAGCUUGCUCUUAUGAAGUUAGCGGCGGACGGGUGAGUAACACGUGGGUAACCUGCCCAUAAGACUGGGAUAACUCCGGGAAACCGGGGCUAAUACCGGAUAACAUUUUGAACCGCAUGGUGCGAAAUUGAAAGGCGGCUUCGGCUGUCACUUAUGGAUGGACCCGCGUCGCAUUAGCUAGUUGGUGAGGUAACGGCUCACAAAGGCAACGAUGCGUAGCCGACCUGAGAGGGUGAUCGGCCACACUGGGACUGAGACACGGCCCAGACUCCUACGGGAGGCAGCAGUAGGGAAUCUUCCGCAAUGGACGAAAGUCUGGCGGAGCAACGCCGCGUGAGUGAUGAAGGCUUUCGGGUCGUAAAACUCUGUUGUUAGGGAAGAACAAGUGCUAGUUGAAUAAGCUGGCACCUUGACGGUACCUAACCAGAAAGCCACGGCUAACUACGUGCCAGCCGCCGCGGUAA